rnacentral:rRNA from 1 species
UAGGGAAUAUUGCACAAUGGAGGAAACUCUGAUGCAGCCAUGCCGCGUGUGUGAAGAAGGCCUUCGGGUUGUAAAGCACUUUCAGAGGGGAGGAGAAUGACGUUACCCUCAGAAGAAGCACCGGCAAACUCCGUGCCAGCAGCCGCGGUAAUACGGAGGGUGCAAGCGUUAAUCGGAAUAACUGGGCGUAAAGGGCAUGCAGGCGGGACGUCAAGCAGGGUGUGAAAUCCCCGGGCUCAACCCGGGAACUGCACUCUGAACUGACGUUCUGGAGUAUCGCAGGGGGAGCGGAAUUCCAGGUGUAGCGGUGGAAUGCGUAGAUA